UUUCUGGUUGAUCCUGCCAGAGGCGACCGCUUUUGGAGUUCGAUUAAGCCAUGCGAGUCGAGAGCCUUAGGGGCUCGGCAUACUGCUCAGUAACACGUGGAUAACCUGCCCUAUUGUCUGGAAUAACCUCGGGAAACUGAGAACAAGGCCGGAUAGCCCACAAUGCCUGGAACGGUUUGUGGGUGAAGAUAGGAUGGGUCUGCGGCGUAUCAGGUCGUAGGGGGUGUAAUGGACCUCCUAGCCAUCGACGCGUACGGGUGUUGGGAGACAUAGCCCGGAGAUGGAUUCUGAGACACGAAUCCAGACCCUACGGGGUGCAGCAGGCGCGAAAACUUCACACUGCAGGAAACUGUGAUGAGGGAACUCCAAGUGCUAUCACUAUGUGGUAGCUUUUCUUGACUAUUAAUCGGUCAUGGAAUAAGGGCUGGGAAAGACCGGUGCCAGCCGCCGCGGUAAUACCGGCAGCUCAAGUGGUCGUCGCUUUUAUUGGGCCUAAAACGUCCGUAGCCUGUUUGGUAAAUCUGUGGGUAAAUCAACCAGCUUAACUGGUUGAAUUCUGCAGAGACUGCCAGACUAGGGACCGGGAGAGGUGUGGGGUACUCUAGGGGUGGGGGUAAAAUCCUGUCAUCCUUAGAGGACCACCAGUUGCGAAGGCGCCACACUGGAACGGAUCCGACGGUCAGGGACGGAGCCUAGGGGCACGAACCGGAUUAGAUACCCGGGUAGUCCUAGGUGUAAACGCUGUGAACUUGGUGUCGGGGAUCCGUAAUGGGUCCUCGGUGCCGGAGUGAAGAUGUUAAGUUCACUGCCUGGGGAGUACGGUCGCAAGGCUGAAACUUAAAGGAAUUGGCGGGGGAGCACUGCAACGGGAGGAGCGUGCGGUUUAAUUGGACUCAACGCCGGAAAUC
rnacentral:rRNA from 1 species